ensembl:lncRNA
AUGAUGAGGCAGUUGGAGGAAACCCAGAGUAAAUUACACCAGAGAAUCCAGGAGAGACAGAAGGUGCUUGAGAAGCUGAGAGAGAUUGUAGAGUCUCAAAAGGUGAGUUUUGAGCAGAAGAACAGCUGCUGGCUGCUGAAGAGCUGUUUAAGACUUAAGUUUGGACUUUCCUCCAGUCAGUCAAUGAGGAACCAGUGCUGGAGCUCUUUCAGUCCUCAUUUACAGAGUCCAGACCACAUUCACUCAGCCUCUCUAUGCUGGGUUUAGAGUCAAUUAUACAUUUGGAUCAGUUUCAAAAGCAAAACUGUGUGAACUGAACUGUAUUGAAGAUACAGAGGAUUAUGUCUGAGGUCAAUGUAAAAUCAGUAUCCGUGAAAAAAUUUCUUUAUUUAUUUCCAGAUCAAUGAAUUAAUAUACUAUUUGAACUCCUAUCAGUGAACUUACUUGAAACUUUAUUUGUGUGUAAAUCUUAGUUUAAUCAGAUGAAUGAAUGUUUAUUAAGAAAGACUGAAAGAAAAGAUGUGGAACUGUGGAAAUAACAUCAUUGACACCAACAGCAGAAAAAAUACUUGUAAUGUAACUUAAUUUACUUACUUGCUUAAUAACAAACAAAUUAGAAGCAUGGGAGGCUUUGUUGUGUUUCCUUUAUUAAUACACAUAUAUUAACUCAAUGGAUUUACAGGUUCCUCUUCGUCUUCAAAUAUUAAAUGUCUAAACAAUGUUGGAUUCAACAGUGACACUACAGAAAGACAUUUACUUAAAUGAAAAUGCAAAUAUGUAUUAUGUUUUCCAUCUCUGGAUCUUCUCAUGUUGCCUCAACAGGCUUACAGUAAGUCAUUAAUCAUUUAUUUUAACCACAGUGACUUUAACCAAUAACAGAAAGGGUCAGUCCUGCUCUGUCUGCCUCCCAUAAAGAGUACUUACUUAGAGCACAAUGGUAAAACACUUGCCCUGUAUCUGUGUUAAAUUAGGAUACUUAACUGUAAACCAGCUGGAUGCUCACACUCUAUCUGGACAUGAUUUUAGAUCCUUUAUUUAAAUUCAAAUGUAAGUUUGUGUCACUGCUGUUCCAUUCUUCUUCCAUUAUUGUCAAUGUUUCACUCUACCAAAUAACCUGAAGGUUUCAAACUCUUUCUAACUGACAAGACAAUGACACUUCUUUUAAUUUUACAUUUAUCAUGGACAUUAUUUAACAAAGUUAUCACAUGACAAUCAUGGAGCAGUUAUAAAAGCAAUAAACUAUUCUACAAUUAUUUAUGAUUUGCAUAUUAAAUAUAGCUAAUUUUAUAAAUCGUCAUGCAACAGAUGUGAUAAUACUAUAAAAUGAUUAACAGUAGACUCAUUGUAGGGACACUUAGUAAACAGUGAGAGGAAAUAUUAUGAGGGUCAGCAUAAGUAUUUGUGCUCAAAGGGCAGCAGAGUAUUAGAUUGCAACGUUACAUGAGAGAUCAACUAUUAACACAAACAUACUUUCAACAGAAUGCAGGAAUAAUUUUAAAUGUGUAAAAGACAUUCAUCUGACCAGCUCUCUCUCUCCCGCUUUCCCUCUCUUCCUCCCUCUCUUGGCCACUCCUACUUUCAGUUCAGUGAAAGUGAAACUCAUCAUUACUUCCUUCUUAGUCUGGGUGUGGGAUUCAGCAGUUUUGUUGUUGUUGUUGAUUUCAGUUUCUAAGAUCUAGACUGUUUGA